GAUUGCAGGCAUGCUACACACAUACACAAAACCCUUUUUCCUUUACUCACUGAAGCUAAGCAGGGUUGAGGCUGGUCAGCACCUGGAUGGAAGAUCUGAUGAGAAAUGCUAAAGUCCCUGCUGUAA
rnacentral:rRNA from 1 species